UUUUCACUCGUUGUUUACAGCCGGGAAUUGUACUUCAGGAAUUGACAGGCAGAUUCGGUCUUUUUCAUUCCGAACGUCAUCCAGUGCACACGGAAAAUAUCUUUUAAAAUCUUGGCGUGCUCAAAGAAGUGACUUUAAUUUUGGAAUGGAAAAGAUGCUAGAACCCAAAUUUGAUGAUAGUAUUAUGAAAGUUUCGUGACAAAUAUGAUUAUUGCUUCAUAUAAUUGAAAUGGAUAAAAAUGUAUUAACAUUGCAAUAUGCAGAUGACGAUGAACCCUUAUCGAAAUGGGUCUCGUAUUAAAUGAUGCUCGGGAAGACUGUAUGGUUAGCAUAAUCCAACAUUACCACGCUAUGCCGUCGUAAAAGUGCAUUUAAACGUGAGCAACCAACAUCCCAAAAACGGCGUGUUCUGUGGUGUAUGGGAAAGAUAUUUUCAUUGUUGGAAAGCAAUUGUCUACGAAGACAUUUGGAAGGAUGAACUUAAGGUUCUGAAUUUAAAUAAUUUCAACAAAAUAAUAAAAAGCAAUUCAAUAAAAAAAGUUAUUCAAAACUCAAA